GACGUUGUUCCAGAUUCUCUGUUCUGUUCUUCCGGCUACACUGCAUAAUUCGAAGCCUUUGAUCUUAAGAUUGCAUUUUAGAAAGAUAAGGCUGCAGAUUUUUCCGCAAUAAAGAGACAGAGCUUCGAUUGAAAGGGACACCAGGUAAGGAUAAGGAAGAAAAUGGGCCAUCAUAAUCACCACGACCACCACCAUCACCAUGGGCACGAAACGAUUAGUCCAUAUGAGGAUCCCUUCCCGGCCUGCUGCUGCUGCCCUUGUCACCUGGUCUCCUUCAUAGUAAGAGGGAUAAGAAAGUGCAUGUUUGUGACUUGUUACCCAUUUAUGCAGUGUUUUGGAUGGGAUGAGCAUAGACACCACCAUCACCAUCACAGGCAUUUCUCCUGAUCCUCAUGAUUAUGCUCAAUCUUCUGAAUUUGUUGAACUCAUGUAUGGACAAUCAAAGCAG